rnacentral:rRNA from 1 species
UCCUACGGGAGGCAGCAGUGGGGAAUAUUGCACAAUGGGCGCAAGCCUGAUGCAGCCAUGCCGCGUGUAUGAAGAAGGCCUUCGGGUUGUAAAGUACUUUCAGCGAGGAGGAAGGCGUUGUGGUUAAUAACCGCAACGAUUGACGUUACUCGCAGAAGAAGCACCGGCUAACUCCGUGCCAGCAGCCGCGGUAAUA